AGAGUUUGAUCCUGGCUCAGAAACGAACGCUGGCGGCGUGGAUAAGACAUGCAAGUCGGACGGGAUUACUUUUUGGUAGCAAUACCGAAAGUGAUUCAGUGGCGAACGGGUGCGUAACACGUGGGCAAUCUACCGAGAAGUGGGGGAUAGCUCGCCGAAAGGCGAAUUAAUACCGCAUGUGAUCAGAGGCGACAUCGCUUCGAAAUCAAAGGUGGCGCAAGCUACCGCUUUUUGAGGAGCCCGCGGCCUAUCAGCUUGUUGGUGAGGUAACGGCUCACCAAGGCAUUGACGGGUAGCUGGUCUGAGAGGACGACCAGUCACACUGGGACUGAGACACGGCCCAGACACCUACGGGUGGCAGCAGUCGAGAAUUUUUCUCAAUGGGGGAAACCCUGAAGGAGCGACGCCGCGUGGAGGAUGAAGGUCUUCGGGUUGUAAACUCCUGUCAUUUGGGAACAAGGUGUGCGCGUUAACUGCGCGCGCAUUGAUAGUACCAGAAGAGGAAGAGACGGCUAACUCUGUGCCAGCAGCCGCGGUAAUACAGAGGUCUCAAGCGUUGUUCGGAUUCAUUGGGCGUAAAGGGUGCGUAGGCGGCGCGGUAAGUCGGGUGUGAAAUUUCGAGGCUUAACUUCGAAACUGCAUUCGAUACUGCCGUGCUUGAGGACUGGAGAGGAGACUGGAAUUUACGGUGUAGCGGUGAAAUGCGUAGAUAUCGUAAGGAAGACCAGUGGCGAAGGCGGGUCUCUGGACAGUUCCUGACGCUGAGGCACGAAGGCCAGGGGAGCAAACGGGAUUAGAUACCCCGGUAGUCC
rnacentral:rRNA from 1 species